rnacentral:rRNA from 1 species
AUUGAACGCUGGCGGCAUGCCUUACACAUGCAAGUCGAACGGCAGCGGACCUUCGGGUGCCGGCGAGUGGCGAACGGGUGAGUAAUAUAUCGGAACGUACCUUUCAGUGGGGGAUAACGUAGCGAAAGUUACGCUAAUACCGCAUAUUCUGUGAGCAGGAAAGCAGGGGAUCGCAAGACCUUGCGCUGAUUGAGCGGCCGAUAUCAGAUUAGCUAGUUGGUGAGGUAAAGGCUCACCAAGGCGACGAUCUGUAGCGGGUCUGAGAGGAUGAUCCGCCACACUGGAACUGAGACACGGUCCAGACUCCUACGGGAGGCAGCAGUGGGGAAUUUUGGACAAUGGGCGGCAAGCCUGAUCCAGCCAUGCCGCGUGAGUGAAGAAGGCCUCG